rnacentral:rRNA from 1 species
UACGAAGGGAGCUAGCGUUGUUCGGAAUCACUGGGCGUAAAGCGCACGUAGGCGGAUUUGCCAGUCAGGGGUGAAAGUCCCGGGGCUCAACCUCGGAACUGCCUUUGAUACAGCAAGUCUUGAGUUCGAGAGAGGUGGGUGGAAUUCCUAGUGUAGAGGUGAAAUUCGUAGAUAUUAGGAAGAACACCGGUGGCGAAGGCGGCCCACUGGCUCGACACUGACGCUGAGGUGCGAAAGCGUGGGGAGCAAACA